rnacentral:rRNA from 1 species
UGGGGAAUAUUGGACAAUGGACCAAGAGUCUGAUCCAGCAAUUCUGUGUGCACGAUGAAGUUUUUCGGAAUGUAAAGUGCUUUCAGUUGGGAAGAAAAAAAUGACGGUACCAACAGAAGAAGUGACGGCUAAAUACGUGCCAGCAGCCGCGGUAAUACGUAUGUCACGAGCGUUAUCCGGAUUUAUUGGGCAUAAGGCGCGUCUAGGUGGUUAUAUAAGUCUGAUGUGAAAAUGCAGGGCUCAACUCUGUAUUGCGUUGGAAACUGUAUAACUAGAGUACUGGAGAGGUAAGCGGAACUACAAGUGUAGAGGUGAAAUUCGUAGAUAUUUGUAGGAAUGCCGAUGGGGAAGCCAGCUUACUGGACAGAUACUGACGCUGAAGCGCGAAAGCGUGGGUAGCAAACAGGAUUAGAUACCCUGGUAGUCCACGCCGUANCGAUGAUUACUAGGUGUUGGGGGUCAAACCUCAGCGCCCAAGCAAAUGCGAUAAGUAAUCCGCCUGGGGAGUACGUACGCAAGUAUG